rnacentral:rRNA from 1 species
GUCGAGGGGCAGCACAAAGAUAGUUUACUAUUUUGGUGGCGACCGGCGCACGGGUGAGUAACGCGUAUGCAACCUACCUUAUACAGGAGUAUAGCCCGAAGAAAUUCGGAUUAAUCCUGCAUAGUAUUUUCUAAUGGCAUCAUUUGGAAAAUUAAAGCUUCGGCGGUAUAAGAUGGGCAUGCGUCCUAUUAGCUAGAUGGUAAGGUAACGGCUUACCAUGGCAACGAUAGGUAGGGGGCCUGAGAGGGUGAUCCCCCACACUGGUACUGAGACACGGACCAGACUCCUACGGGAGGCAGCAGUGAGGAAUAUUGGGCAAUGGAGGCAACUCUGACCCAGCCAUGCCGCGUGCAGGAAGAAUGCCCUAUGGGUUGUAAACUGCUUUUAUUUAGGAAUAAACCCUUCUACGUGUAGAAGGCUGAAUGUACUAAACGAAUAAGCACCGGCUAACUCCGUGCCAGCAGCCGCGGUAAUACGGAGGGUGCAAGCGUUAUCCGGAAUCAUUGGGUUUAAAGGGUCCGCAGGCGGACGUAUAAGUCAGUGGUGAAAUCCUGCAGCUUAACUGCAGAACUGCCAUUGAUACUGUACGUCUUGAAUUCGGUCGAAGUGGGCGGAAUGUGUAGUGUAGCGGUGAAAUGCAUAGAUAUUACACAGAACACCGAUAGCGAAGGCAGCUCACUAGGCCUGGAUUGACGCUCAGGGACGAAAGCGUGGGGAUCAAACAGGAUUAGAUACCCUGGUAGUCCACGCUGUAAACGAUGAUUACUCGUUUUCGGCGAUAUACAGUCGGAGACUAAGCGAAAGUGAUAAGUAAUCCACCUGGGG